rnacentral:tRNA from 1 species
UGAGAUGUUGCUCAGUAGUACAGCAUCUGCCUGGCACGCACAGGGGCUAGAGUUUGAUUCCUAGCAUGUCAA